rnacentral:rRNA from 1 species
UCGCUCCUACCGAUUGAGUGUUACGGUGAGCCUUUCGGACUGUGACGGUGCUCGACACCGACGCGGAAAGUCUGGCAAAUCUUACUACUUAGAGGAAGGAG